AGGGCGCAUGGAGGAUGCCUAGGCUCUCGGAGGCGAAGAAGGACGUGAUAAGCUGCGAAAAGUUACGGUAAGGCGCAAAUAGCCCUAGACCCGUAAAUAUCCGAAUGGGGCAACCCGGCCAGCAAUGGCCAUACCGCCAAGCGGUAAGCCAACGCGGGGAACUGAAACAUCUAAGUACCCGCAGGAAAAGAAAAUAACAAUGAUUCCGCCAGUAGUGGCGAGCGAACGCGGAACAGCCCAAACCACCCGUGUUACGGCACGAGUGGGGUAGAAGGAUCCACGCUACGGCAAGAAAUAAGUUAGCAGAAUACGAUGGAAAUCGUAGCCAGAGACGGUGACAGCCCGGUACGCGAAAACGGACAGAAGCCCAGUGGACACCUGAGUAACCCAGGACACGAGAAAUCCGGGGCGAAUCAGCGGGGCCCAUCCCGUAAGGCUAAAUACUCCCGAGAGACCGAUAGCGAACCAGUACUGUGAAGGAAAGGUGAAAAGAACCUCGAACAGAGGAGUGAAACAGACCCUGAAACCAUGCGCCUACAAGCGGUCGGAGCAUGUUAAAAUGUGACGGCGUGCCUUUUGCAUAAUGAACCUACGAGUUACUCUCGCUGGCAAGGUUAAGUGUGACGAUUCAGUCGCGCAGCCGAAGCGAAAGCAAGUCCGAACAAGGCGUACAGUCAGCGGGAGUAGACGCGAAACCAAGUGAUCUACCCUUGGUCAGGUUGAAGGUUGGGUAACACCAACUGGAGGACCGCACCGAUAAGCGUUGAAAAGCUUACGGAUGAACUGAGGGUAGGAGUGAAAGGCCAAUCAAACUUGGAGAUAGCUCGUACUCCCCGAAAUGCAUUUAGGUGCAGCCUUGCGAGUUACUGAUGUGAGGUAGAGCGACUGAUAAGAUGCGAGGGCUUCACCGCCUAUCAAGUCUUGACAAACUCCGAAUACUAUCACUUGAUCUUCGGGAGUGAGGGCAUGGGUGCUAAGGUCCAUGUCCGAAAGAGGAACAACUCAGACCACCAGCUAAGGUCCCGAAAUAAGGGCUAAGUUGAAUAAACGAAGUAAAACUGCAAAGACAGCUAGGAUGUUGGCUUGGAAGCAGCCAUUCAUUUAAAGAGUGCGUAACAGCUCACUAGUCGAGGAGUUUUGCAUGGAUAAUAAUCGGGCAUAAGCCCUUUACCGAAGCUGUGGAUGUCGUAAGACAUGGUAGGGGAGCAUUCCGGCGGCGACGAAGGCCGUCCUCGAGGACGACUGGAGCUUUCGGAAAAGCAAAUGUAGGUAUAAGUAACGAUAAAGGGGGCGUGAAACCCCCUCGCCAUAAGACUAAGGAUUCCUGAUCAACGCUAAUCGGAUCAGGGUAAGUCGGGCCCUAAGGCGCAGCCGAACGGCGUAGCCGAUGGAAGAAACGGUAAAGAUUCCGUUACUGGAUAUAGGAGCGAUGUGGAGACGGAGAAGUGACACACCCGCCUGCCGACGGAAGCGCAGGUUAAAGGAAGUAGGUAAACGCCGGGUAGGCAAAUCCGCCUGGCGUGCCGAAGCUGACAGUAUCGAGAGCCCCCGGGCAAUCGAAUAGCGGUGGUAAUCAGGCUCCCAAGAAAAUCCGCUAAGCAUAUUCUAUAUCCACCCGUACCCCAAACGGACACACGUAGUCGGGUAGAAUAUACCAAGGCGCUCGAAAGACUCACGGUUAAGGAACUAGGCAAAUUGACCCUGUAACCUCGGGAAAAAGGGUCCCCAGUAAGAUGGGGCGCAGAGAAUAGGUCCAGGCAACUGUUUAACAAAAACACAGGGCUGUGCAAAAUUUCAAGAUGAAGUAUACAGCCUGACACCUGCCCGGUGCCGGAAGGUUAAGAGGAGAGCUAAUCGCAAGAGAAGGCUUGAAUUGAAGCCCCGGUAAACGGCGGCCGUAACUAUAACGGUCCUAAGGUAGCGAAAUUCCUUGUCGGGUAAGUUCCGACCUGCACGAAUGGUGUAAUGAUCUGGACACUGUCUCAACCGUGACUUCGGUGAAAUUGUAGUAUCGGUGAAGAUGCCGAUUACCCGCAACGGGACGAAAAGACCCCGUGAACCUUUACUGCAACUUAGCAUUGCGUUUGGGCAUUUGAUGUGUAGGAUAGUCCGGAGGCUACGAGUCGGCGACGCCAGUCGUCGAGGAGCCGCUGUUGAAAUACGGACCUUCGAAUGUUUGAGCGCUAACUCGUGUAGCGAGGACACUGUUUGGUGGGUAGUUUGACUGGGGU
rnacentral:rRNA from 1 species